rnacentral:lncRNA from 1 species
UCAUCCAAAUGCCAUGAAAUUUUACAUGCUUACCAUGUUAGAUGUUAGGAUUGAUUGUGAUUUAUUUCAAGAUUUUUGAGAUUGUUUGAGUUGACUUUUGAAUGAAGUCUUUGCUGUUGACUUUUGUAUGCUUCUCUUGCCAUGCUUUGCAUCCUUUUGCAUAUGAAAUGACCAUGAUGCAUGAUAUAAGUUUGAAUCCAAUUGAGAAUGCUUCUUGAAUGUUUAGACUUGGUUUGGGUUGACUUUUCC